GGGCCCGCACAAGCAGCGGAGCAUGUGGUUUAAUUCGAAGCAACGCGAAGAACCUUACCAGGGCUUGACAUCCCCUGACAAGCGUGGAAACACGCCUUCCCUUCGGGGCAGGGAGACAGGUGGUGCAUGGUUGUCGUCAGCUCGUGUCGUGAGAUGUUGGGUUAAGUCCCGCAACGAGCGCAACCCUUAUCCUUAGUUGCCAGCACAUAAUGGUGGGGACUCUAGGGAGACCGCCGGGGACAACUCGGAGGAAGGUGGGGACGACGUCAAAUCAUCAUGCCCCUUAUGUCCUGGGCUACACACGUGCUACAAUGGCCGGCACAAAGGGAAGCGAAGCCGCAAGGUGGAGCCAAACCCAUAAAAAGCGGUCUCAGUUCGGAUUGUGGGCUGCAACCCGCCCACAUGAAGUCGGAGUUGCUAGUAAUCGCGAAUCAGCAUGUCG
rnacentral:rRNA from 1 species